rnacentral:rRNA from 1 species
GAUGAACGCUGGCGGCGUGCCUAAUACAUGCAAGUCGAGCGAACGGACGAGAAGCUUGCUUCUCUGAUGUUAGCGGCGGACGGGCGAGUAACACGUGGAUAACCUACCUAUAAGACUGGGAUAACUUCGGGAAACCGUAGCUAAUACCGGAUAAUAUUUUGAACCGCAUGGUUCAAAAGUGAAAGACGGUCUUGCUGUCACUUAUAGAUGGAUCCGCGCUGCAUUAGCUAGUUGGUAAGGUAACGGCUUACCAAGGCAACGAUGCAUAGCCGACCUGAGAGGGUGAUCGGCCACACUGGAACUGAGACACGGUCCAGACUCCUACGGGAGGCAGCAGUAGGGAAUCUUCCGCAAUGGGCGAAAGCCUGACGGAGCAACGCCGCGUGAGUGAUGAAGGUCUUCGGAUCGUAAAACUCUGUUAUUAGGGAAGAACAUAUGUGUAAGUAACUGUGCACAUCUUGACGGUACCUAAUCAGAAAGCCACGGCUAACUACGU